UACGUAGGGUCCGAGCGUUGUCCGGAAUUACUGGGCGUAAAGAGCUCGUAGGCGGUCUGUCGCGUCGGCUGUGAAAACCCGAGGCUCAACCUCGGGCCUGCAGUCGAUACGGGCAAACUAGAGUACUGCAGGGGAGACUGGAAUUCCUGGUGUAGCGGUGAAAUGCGACAGAUAGUCAGGAGGAACACCGGUGGCGAAGGCGGGUCUCUGGGCAGUAACUGACGCUGGAGGAGCGAAAGCCGUGGGGAGCGAACAGG
rnacentral:rRNA from 1 species